AGAGUUUGAUCGUGGCUCAGGAUGAACGCUAGCGGCGCGCCUAAUGCAUGCAAGUCGAGCGAUGAGGCCUCUUCGGAGGUACAUCAGCGGCAGACGGGUGAGUAACACGUGGGUGACCUGCCCUCAAGACGGGGAUAACUGAUGGAAACAGCAGCUAAUACCCGAUGCCCUUACCGUGUCGAAGUGGUAAGGAAAGCUCCGGUGCUUGAGGAGGGGCUCGCGGCCCAUCAGCUAGUUGGUGAGGUAAUGGCUCACCAAGGCGAAGACGGGUAGGGGGUGUGAGAGCAUGACCCCCCACAAUGGGACUGAGAUACGGCCCAUACUUCUACGGAAGGCAGCUGGGAAUCUUGCCCAAUGGACGAAAGUCUGAGGCAGCGACGCCGCGUGAGUGAUGACGGCCUUCGGGUUGUAAAACUCUUUUUGAGGGGAAGAGCGAGGACGGUACCCUCAGAAUAAGCGUCGGCUAACUACGUGCCAGCAGCCGCGGUAAGACGUAGGACGCAAGCGUUAUCCGGAUUUACUGGGCGUAAAGCGUCUGUAGGCGGACAGGUAAGUUGAACGUGAAAGCUCCGUGCUCAACGCGGAGAGGCCGUACAAUACUGCCUGACUAGAGGAGGUCAGAGGGGAGUGGAAUUUCCGGUGUAGCGGUAAAAUGCGCAGAUAUCGGAAGGAACACCAGUGGCGAAGGCGGCUCCCUGGGGCCCACCUGACGCUGAGAGACGAAAGCUAGGGGAGCGAACAGGAUUAGAGACCCUGGUAGUCCUAGCCCUAAACGCUGAAUGCUAGGUGUGGGGACGUAAAGUUUCCGUGCCGGAGCUAACGCGAUAAGCAUUCCGCCUGGAGUACGACCGCAAGGUUAAAACUCAAACGAAUUGACGGGACCCCGCACAAGCAGCGGAGCGUGUGGUUUAAUUCGAUUCUACACGAAGAACCUUACCUGGGUUUGACAUACAAGUGGUAGGAAGCCGAAAGGUGACUGACCCUUCGGGGAGCUUGUACAGGUGCUGCAUGGCUGUCGUCAGCUCGUGCCGUGAGGUGUCGGGUUAAGUCCCGUAACGAGCGCAACCCUUGCCCUUAGUUACAAGUGUCUAAGGGGACUGCCGGCGGGAAGCCGGAGGAAGGUGGGGAUGACGUCAAGUCAGCAUGCCCCUUAUGUCCAGGGCUACACACACGCUACAAUGGGCGGUACAGAGGGCAGCGAAGCCGCGAGGUGAAGCGAAUCCCACAAAGCCGUUCGUAGUUCGGAUAGCAGGCUGCAACUCGCCUGCUUGAAGCUGGAGUUGCUAGUAACCGCGCGUCAGCUAUAGUGCGGUGAAUACGUUCCCGGGGUUUGUACACACCGCCCGUCACGUCAUGGGAGUUGGUAACGCCUGAAGCCGAUAGCUUAACUCGCAAGAGGGGGCGUCGUCGAGGGCGGGACUGGCAACUGGGACGAAGUCGUAACAAGGUA
rnacentral:rRNA from 1 species